rnacentral:rRNA from 1 species
ACUCCUACGGGAGGCAGCAGUAGGGAAUAUUGCACAAUGGGGGAAACCCUGAUGCAGCAAUGCCACGUGAGCGAGGAAGGUCUUCGGAUUGUAAAGCUCUGUCCUAUAGGAAGAAAUGGGUAUUAUGGUUAAUACCCAUAGUAUUUGACGGUACUAUAGAAGAAAGCACCGGCUAACUCCGUGCCAGCAGCCGCGGUAAUACGGAGGGUGCAAGCGUUGUUCGGAUUUACUGGGCGUAAAGCGCGCGCAGGCGGAUAAGCAAGUCAGAUGUGAAAUCUCGGGGCUCAACCCCGAAACUGCGUCUGAAACUGUUUAUCUAGAGUCUCAUAGGGGGUAGGGAAUUUCACGUGUAGGGGUAAAAUCCGUAGAGAUGUGAAGGAACACCGGUGGCGAAGGCGCCUACCUGGAUGAGUACUGACGCUGAGGCGCGAAAGCGUGGGGAGCAAACAGGAUUAGAUACCCUGGUAGGAUAGCGU